rnacentral:rRNA from 1 species
AGCUUUAUGGUUAAUUAUAUAAAGUGAGUUCUGCCCGGUGACGUAAAAGUUUAACGGCCGCGGUACUCUGACCGUGCAAAGGUAGCAUAAUCAUUUGCCUUUUAAUUGGAGGCUGGAAUGAAUGGAUAUACGAGACUAAAGCUGUCUCUUUUCUGUGUAUAGAAAUUGUCUUUUAGGUGAGGAGACCUAAAUAGUAAUGAAAGACAAAAAGACCCUAUAGAGCUUUAUUUUUAUGAGAUAUUUUGGAAUAAUUUACUUUUUUACUCUAAUAAAUUUGGUUGGGGCGACAGGGGAAUAUAUAAAUCUUCCCCGGAGUAUAGGAAUCUUUUUCUUAAAACGAUCUAUUAAGAUGAUAUGGAGAAAUAGUUACCUUAGGGAUAACAGGCUAAUCCUUCCGGAGAGUUCAAAUUGAUGGGAGGGGUUGGCACCUCGAUGUUGGCUUAGAAUAACCUAUAGAUGUAGCAGUCUAUGAAGGUUGGUUUGUUCAACCAUUAAAAUUCUA